rnacentral:rRNA from 1 species
UACAGAGACUGCAAGCGUUAUUCGGAUUCACUGGGCGUAAAGGGUGCGCAGGCGGCCGAGUGUGUGAGGCGUGAAAGCCCGGGGCUUAACCCCGGAAUUGCACCUCAAACUACACGGCUAGAGCAUUGGAGAGGGUAGCAGAAUUCGAUGGUGUAGCAGUGAAAUGCGUAGAUAUCAUGAGGAAUACCAGAGGCGAAGGCGGCUACCUGGACAAUUGCUGACGCUCAGGCACGAAAGCGUGGGGAGCAAAAGGG